rnacentral:lncRNA from 1 species
AAACGACUCUAACCAAAAGGUUCGCUCGACACCUGAUCAUAUGUCAAACAAUCAAAUUCUGCUUUUAACAUAUUGUAAUGCAAGUUAUGGAGGGUUCGCCACAAUGAGAUGUAAUGACUCUCACGGUUCAUAUACUUCUACGUGUUCUUUGAAUCAUAGCUUCCUCGAAAUCGGAACCUGCAGUUUUGGAUCAGAAGGAUGUCGUCCGCUACUGCCGCUUUAUUCUUCUCGUAUUCCUCCUCGUUUGCUCAGGCCGUGCCCUUUGUAUCGUCUCCUUCGACUCAUCGAGUAGCCGCAUGUAAGAGUGUGAGAUAGAUAUAAUGCUCCAUGGGCUCAAUUGCAGGGAUGACUCUCUGUGCCAGCAGGUGGAAUGUUAAUGGUCUCUGCAUCGAAACCCAGCCCAAUUUGUCUUUAAUGCUAAUCAUAGGAUUCAAGAACUAGCAUCUGAAUUGAAAUCGAUUGAUGUGGUUUAUAGAUAAUUAAGUGAAUUAAGUAAUAGAGAAUAAUAAACUAUAAGAACACUUCUUCCAGGACCAUAACUUGUAAGGAAAAUUCAAAGACUAGUUCUAAUCAUCAGAUUGUCGAACUCAUUUUACAUCUCAAGCAUCUCACUUUCAUCACAUUGCUUUGUUUAAUGGACAAUUUUCCACGAGAAUCUCAUGCAUUUGGGACCAUCUUACCAUUCGCAUAGAUGAUUAUUUUUGCUCCUUUUGUUGAAAAAGGAAACAAAAAAACAAAGACCAGAGAAGAUAUUACAUCUUUAGUUGGUUGUCAAGAUUUCUACAUCAACAGGUGGCCUACUAUUCCACACAACAUGCCAUUGGUAGAUGCUCCUUCCUUUUCCAAUGAUGAAGAUAGCCAAUAGUGGUUGGUUUCCCCACUAUCAUUCACACUAAUACAUAAUACUGGCUUAAGAUCUUGUACUAAAAUCACUGUAUCAUUGAGACAUUGUACUAAAAUCAUUGUAUCAUGAACUCUUGAUAAGUAAUUGAAUAGGGUGGAAAAUCCUCCCUAUUCAUUUUUGGGCAAUUUCUAUAAAAAUAAAAUUUCUCUUUUAAACUUUUUUGAAAGAUAAAUAAUUUUUUUUAUUUUUUUAUUUAGUACUUUUAUUUUUUAUAAGACCCAUUAUCUUCAUCUAUCACUCAAGGAGGGAUACGACAAUGUGUCGAGGACUGAAAAGAGUGCAAGAGUGUUGAGAUCUCAUGAUGGGACGAAAGCAACGAGCAACAAUAAAAGAUAUUAUGGGUAUUAUAAAAAAAUAGGAGCAGAGAGUAGAAAAGGUUAAAACAGAGGCACCAUCCAAAAAAAAGUUUAAACAUAUUAAAAUCAAAUCAAUAUUGAAGAUUUAUCAUAUAUUCUCAAUCAAAAUCUAUCAGUAAUUUUUUUAGAUGAAAAAAAUUAAAGAAAAAUAUGAAAACUUAAAGAAGAAUUAGAAAAAAAAAACUUGUGCCCCAAAAGAUUAAUCAAAUUAAUUUUUUUCUUAGCUUCGUACAAGUAAAACUAAUAAAUACAAUUGAUUUUCAGCUCAUGUAACCCUGGAAUAAUGAUUAGUUAGUUCAGACCACAUCAACAUUGGAAGUUAAAGAGGAGGAAGUUUAUUAAUGCUUCAACAUUUAAAAAUUUAGGAAGACCAUAUAUUUAUAUAUAUAUGUAAGCUAGUAGUAUAUUUGGAGAGAAUAGGCUUUCCUAUAUGAUUACCUUUAAGUGCGCCACAAAGUUAUCUCCCAUUAACUAAAUCAUGAGGAGCAUUUAGAGCAAGCUUUGAGAUGGCACGCCUGCAACCGAUGGACCAAAGAAUGACCACUACUUACAUACGUGGAGCAUCCAAUAUCGGUUGAUGAUUGUUACACCUUUCGAGGGACACUAAAUAGCUGCCUGUGAUCAUGUCUAAUCCCGCAAAGCUAUUGUUACUUUAUCUUCUGGUCCAAUUCCCAAGUCCGACAAGAUUACUUUGACUCACAUCGUUGAUGAACUGAGUCGAGGAUCUAUUCACCAUUCA